rfam:Pelecanus crispus contig12186, whole genome shotgun sequence.
GCCGGGUUAGCUCAGUUGGUUAGAGCAUGGUGCUAAUAACAGCAAGUUCACAGGUUCAAUCCCUGCUUACUGCA